rnacentral:rRNA from 1 species
GAUGAACGCUGGCGGCGUGCCUAAUACAUGCAAGUCGAGCGAACAGAUGAGGAGCUUGCUCCUCUGACGUUAGCGGCGGACGGGUGAGUAACACGUGGAUAACCUACCUAUAAGACUGGGAUAACUUCGGGAAACCGGAGCUAAUACCGGAUAAUAUAUUGAACCGCAUGGUUCAAUAGUGAAAGACGGUUUUGCUGUCACUUAUAGAUGGAUCCGCGCCGCAUUAGCUAGUUGGUAAGGUAACGGCUUACCAAGGCAACGAUGCGUAGCCGACCUGAGAGGGUGAUCGGCCACACUGGAACUGAGACACGGUCCAGACUCCUACGGGAGGCAGCAGUAGGGAAUCUUCCGCAAUGGGCGAAAGCCUGACGGAGCAACGCCGCGUGAGUGAUGAAGGUCUUCGGAUCGGAAAACUCUGUUAUUAGGGAAGAACAAAUGUGUAAGUAACUAUGCACGUCUUGACGGUACCUAAUCAGAAAGCCACGGCUAACUACGUG